UACGGAGGGGCUAGCGUUGUUCGGAAUUACUGGGCGUAAAGCGCACGUAGGCGGCUUUGUAAGUUAGAGGUGAAAGCCCGGGGCUCAACUCCGGAAUUGCCUUUAAGACUGCAUCGCUAGAAUUGUGGAGAGGUAAGUGGAAUUCCGAGUGUAGAGGUGAAAUUCGUAGAUAUUCGGAAGAACACCAGUGGCGAAGGCGACACGCUGGGUCACACCUGACGCUAAAGCGCGACAGCAUGGGGAGCGAACGGG
rnacentral:rRNA from 1 species